rnacentral:lncRNA from 7 species
GAAAUUGCCAGACAUGAAACCAGAAAAGGUCCUGAGAAAGGCUGAGGAGGAAAAUAUUCCUGGGAGCCUUGGUGGUGUGCCCAGCUGGCUCUCAGCUUUGCAGCAACAGCUGUCUGAGCCCGGAUCUGAGUGGAUACAAAUCCCUCCCUGCUUUUCCAAGGCGCUGACGUGACACUGAACUUCAGGUUUUGAGGUGAGGAAGGGGGAAUGAAGGUUUGCUGCUCAGCUGGGGCUGACAAAAGCUGCAUCCCAGGCUCCAAGGUGAAGCUGUGUCAGACUGUAAUCCUCUGCUCCCAAGCACUGCUGGAACGUCACAGCAGAGCAUGGAGGAGAACGUUUUCUUUUAACAGCACAUUUUUCCUUAAACCAGUUUGCAGGCACGGCUGAGGCAUUUUAAUGGAAAUUUCCUCCCAGUAAAAAGGCUGCAGCACACAUACCAGAAACUCUUGGCCCGGAUCGUUAACAUUCACUAAAACUAUAAGCAACCCAGUGGGAGCAUUGAGCUGCGAGGCAUGCUUCGUCUCCCUACAGCUCAGCACGGAGACUGCAAAUAUGGGGCAGCACUUCAGAUGUACAAACAGCAAAGUCAGAAGAGGACAACACCAGUGCAGCCUUGGUUUGGCCACCAGGGCCUGUCCCACAGUCUUUAAGAUGUGCUUAAUCCUCUCAGCUGCCCCUCGUGGCCACUCAUCUCCAGCCACCCCACACUGUUCCCAUGUCCUCUGCUGAUGGUGAAUCUCUGAAUGCUGUCCUCUCUCCUGUGCUCCUUGGCUGCUUUCUGUAUUCACAUGGGGGCCAGCAUCAGAUCUUCCAUUCCCAGGUCACAUUCAGGGUCUGUUUGUGCCUCAGUUCCACUGCAGGAGCACAGCAUUGCUGGCAAGGUGCUGGGCACUGGAAGGAGCUCGUUUCCCUUGCUUUGGGAGGGUACCAGGAGGAAAACCGAUCCCAUUUAUGCCACGCCAACUUUACAAGGAAGGACAGCCUUGAAUUCCCCCUCACACCCUGUGAGCACUGCUGAAACCUGCAUCCAGGAACCCACAGCUGCACAGAGGAUGGAUGGACGCAUCUUCAUCCCUGCUAUCCUCCAGCACGGACACAGCACUGCGCCACACUGCAAUGCUGGGCUGCACACUGCUGGACCCGAAGUGACCCCGGUUGGAUGGGGAAGCUGAUCCCAGGUCUGAGCUGAGCAGAGCACAGCCCUUCAAGACUGGACGUGUUCCAAGGGUUAUUUGUGCCCGCUGACCUCACGGCACUUUGCCUUCCAGCCCCUGCUGGGGUCCUCCUGUCUUUUUGCAUAAUCUCCUCUUAAGAAAUAGCAGGAGAGGGGCCUUCUUUGCAGCUUUUGUCCAGGAGAGCCGCCUUGCUGCACGGUUCCACCUUGAGAACCCCCCUCUCUUUUUGUGCCGGAGCUGAACCGUUUCUUUUCUCCCCUCUUUGCACCUCUUAACUUUCUCUCCUUCUCCACUCUGAUUUCUUUGCACCAUUAUUAUCCUGAAAAGUAUUUUGAGGACACAGUUUGUCCGACGCAAGGCUGUGACAAUGCAAGGGCUACAACUGUUAGCGUGGAUUAAAGCAGUGCUUUCU